rnacentral:rRNA from 1 species
UACGUAGGGUGCAAGCGUUGUCCGGAAUUAUUGGGCGUAAAGAGCUCGUAGGCGGCUUGUCGCGUCGGCUGUGAAAACCUGGGGCUCAACCCCGGGCCUGCAGCCGAUACGGGCAAGCUAGAAUUCGGUAGGGGAGACUGGAAUUCCUGGUGUAGCGGUGGAAAUGACGCAGAUAUCAGGAGGAACACCGGUGGCGAAGGCGGGUCUCUGGGCCGAUAUUGACGCUGAGGAGCGAAAGCGUGGGGAGCAAACAGG